CUCCUAAAGAGUAACGGAGGAGCACGAAGGUUGGCUAAUCCUGGUCGGACAUCAGGAGGUUAGUGCAAUGGCAUAAGCCAGCUUGACUGCGAGCGUGACGGCGCGAGCAGGUGCGAAAGCAGGUCAUAGUGAUCCGGUGGUUCUGAAUGGAAGGGCCAUCGCUCAACGGAUAAAAGGUACUCCGGGGAUAACAGGCUGAUACCGCCCAAGAGUUCAUAUCGACGGCGGUGUUUGGCACCUCGAUGUCGGCUCAUCACAUCCUGGGGCUGAAGUAGGUCCCAAGGGUAUGGCUGUUCGCCAUUUAAAGUGGUACGCGAGCUGGGUUUAGAACGUCGUGAGACAGUUCGGUCCCUAUCUGCCGUGGGCGCUGGAGAACUGAGGGGGGCUGCUCCUAGUACGAGAGGACCGGAGUGGACGCAUCACUGGUGUUCGGGUUGUCAUGCCAAUGGCACUGCCCGGUAGCUAAAUGCGGAAGAGAUAAGUGCUGAAAGCAUCUAAGCACGAAACUUGCCCCGAGAUGAGUUCUCCCUGAGACUUUAGGUCUCCUGAAGGAACGUUGAAGACGACGACGUUGAUAGGCCGGGUGUGUAAGCGCAGCGAUGCGUUGAGCUAACCGGUACUAAUGAACCGUGAGGCUUAACCUUACAACGCCGAAG
rnacentral:rRNA from 1 species